GAUGAACGCUGGCGGCGUGCCUAACACAUGCAAGUCGAGCGAUUCUCUUCGGAGAAGAGCGGCGGACGGGUGAGUAACGCGUGGGUAACCUGCCCUGUACACACGGAUAACAUACCAAAAGGUAUGCUAAUACGGGAUAAUAUAAGAAAUUCGCAUGUUUUUCUUAUCAAAGCUCCGGCGGUACAGGAUGGACCCGCGUCUGAUUAGCUAGUUGGUGAGGUAAUGGCUCACCAAGGCGACGAUCAGUAGCCGACCUGAGAGGGUGAUCGGCCACAUUGGAACUGAGACACGGUCCAAACUCCUACGGGAGGCAGCAGUGGGGAAUAUUGCACAAUGGGCGAAAGCCUGAUGCAGCAACGCCGCGUGAGCGAUGAAGGCCUUCGGGUCGUAAAGCUCUGUCCUCAAGGAAGAUAAUGACGGUACUUGAGGAGGAAGCCCCGGCUAACUACGUGCCAGCAGCCGCCGUAACAC
rnacentral:rRNA from 1 species